UGCAGAAUCCCGUGAACCAUCGAGUCUUUGAACGCAAGUUGCGCCCGAGGCCUUUGGGUCGAGGGCACGCCUGCCUGGGCGUCACGC
rnacentral:rRNA from 1 species